GAUGAACGCUGGCGGCGUGCCUAAUACAUGCAAGUCGAGCGAACAGACGAGGAGCUUGCUCCUCUGACGUUAGCGGCGGACGGGUGAGUAACACGUGGAUAACCUACCUAUAAGACUGGGAUAACUUCGGGAAACCGGAGCUAAUACCGGAUAAUAUAUUGAACCGCGUGGUUCAAUAGUGAAAGACGGUUUUGCUGUCACUUAUAGAUGGAUCCGCGCCGCAUUAGCUAGUUGGUAAGGUAACAGCUUACCAAGGCAACGAUGCGUAGCCGACCUGAGAGGGUGAUCGGCCACACUGGAACUGAGACACGGUCCAGACUCCUACGGGAGGCAGCAGUAGGGAAUCUUCCGCAAUGGGCGAAAGCUUGACGGAGCAACGCCGCGUGAGUGAUGAAGGUCUUCGGAUCGUAAAACUCUGUUAUUAGGGAAGAACAAAUGUGUAAGUAACUAUGCACGUCUUGACGGUACCUAAUCAGAAAGCCACGGCUAACUACGUG
rnacentral:rRNA from 1 species